rnacentral:lncRNA from 1 species
GAGAAAAGGGAGGGGGACGGAAGAGGAAGGAGGACUGAGCCCGGGAGAGAGAGGGGAGGGGUCGGCGCGCGACCGGGUCAUGCAGGUGCAGACUGGCCGGUCGCUUCCCGCCCUCCAGCCACCCGCAGCUCCCCGGCAGGCGAAGGGCGGCCGCGCGGGUGUGGGCCGAGAGAGGGAGGCGGCUCGGCUGGAGCGCGCCGUCCGCCCGACCCCCGCCGCCUCUCGGGCGCCUGCGCUCACGCUGCGGGGCCCAGCGCAUUGUGAGCCGGGUCGAGCUCCACGCUGGCAGCGUCUGAGAGCUGUCCUGGGCCGGAGGUGGCGCGAACCCUGUGCGGCCUAGAGUGGGCCUGGGGAAGCCAGCUGCCAUGUUCUGAGUACUCUCUGGAAGGGCCUGCAUGGCAAGGAACUGAUGUUUCCAGCCAGCAGCCAGCAAGAACUGCAAGCCUUGUGAAUGAGCUUGGAAGCAGAUCCUCCCCUCACUCAAGCCAUGAUAUGACAACAGCCUGAGACCCAGAGGGAUGCUCAGGCAUAUGGCCUCAGAAACAUGGGCUAUUGAGACAGAGAAAAAGACAACUCUGGAAGGAGAGAGCCUGGCCUUACAGAAGACAUCUGAACUAUCAAUCAACAGAAAUCUCACGUAUAGUUGAA